UAAAGUAAUUAAUUAUUAUACUUCCUGGUACUCUCUUUAGGAGAUCCCAUUUCAUUCAUACAUUCAUAGCCUUUAGCACCUUUAUGGCACAUACAACUAAAGGUGCACUUUAUAAUAGCAGUUAUAAUUUUAGUUCUCUGAGGUCGCAAGGUAAUAUCCAGACGUUGCUGUCAUGGGUGGGGUACUUUGUUCUCGGCGCUAGGCCAUACCCUGUAGCGAAAAUUAGGGUCCGUUCAUUGAAGUGUAUGAAUGAUAAGGAAAUAUAAUAAUUAAACAGUACUGGGGUAGAGCACUCGUUGUACUAGGGGGAGCUAAGCUUCUACCAACUACAAAGAAACUCCGAAUACAGUACGUAAAGCUUUCGGCAGUCAGACUAUGGGCGCUAAGGUCCAUGGUCAAGAGGGAAACAGCCCUGAUUGAACGUUAAGGUCUUUAAAUGGUUUCUUAGUGAGUAAGGAUGUCAGAUAGUAAAAACAACCAGAAGGUAGGCUUGGAGGCAGCCAUCCUUUAAAGAAAGCGUAAUAGCUCACUGGUCUAGCUAUUUGGCGCCGACGAUGUAUAGAGACUUAAGAAAUCUACCGAAACGGCAAUUGAAUACUCUACUACUAUGAUACUAUCGCCCGAGGUAUGUACUAGCAGUAUAAAAAGUACAGCAGUACAUGAAACUAAGAAGGGAUAGAGUAAGUUACAGGAAUGGUAUAACCAGAACGGUUAUGGGCAUCCAGAUGUAACCAAGAUUCAAAGAGAGUAGAAAUAUAAUAUUCGAGGUAGCGGAACGUUCUGUAAGUCUGUGAAAGUGUAUCGUAAGAUAAUGCUGGAGAUAUCAGAAGUGAGAAUGCUGACAUAAGUAACGAUAAAUAAUGCAAAACAUUAUCGCCGUAAGCCCAAGGGUUUCUAGCAGAAAGUUAAACUGAAUAGAUUUAGACGGUCCCUAAGGCAUAAGCGUAAGCUGUAACCGAUGGGAGAUUAUUGAUAAAAUUCAAUAUCUAUCUGUGAAUGACGAAAUACGUAAAGUGUGAAUAAUAAAUGGAUUUUAUUUGCUAUGAGGUAUUUCCAAGAAAAAGUCCAGAUAAUAAAAACCGUACCCUAAACCGACACAGGUGGGUGGGUCGAGUAGACUCAGGCGCUUGGGAGAACUACGUUGAAGGAACUCGGCAAAUUGACUCCGUAACUUCGGGAUAAGGAGUACUUUAUUUAGGUUUAAUUCAUUGUGAGAGCAUUUAGAACACUAUUCUCAGUUGAAUAGGUUUUUUCCUCAUUAAACGACAUAGCCUUUAUAAAGUGACACAAAAUCGGGGGGAACGACUGCUUAACAAAAGCACAGGACUCUGCAAAGUCGCAAGACGCAGUAUAGGGUCUGACGCCUGCCCGGUGCUGGAAGGUGAACAGGAGGUGUUUUCGCACUGAAUCUAAGCCCCAGUAAACGGCGGCCGUAACUCUGACGGUCCUAAGGUAGCGAAAUUCAUUGCCAUUUAAUUGGUGGCCCGCAUGAAUGGCGUAACGAUUCCCCCGCUGUCUCCAACGUAGACCCAGUGAAAUUGAAGUGUCCGUGAAGAUGCGGACUUUAUACAGCUAGACGAGAAGACCCCGUGCACCUUUACUACAACUUUACGUUGUUCGUAUUACUGACAUGUACAGGAUAGGUGGGAGCCUGUGAAGUAAGAUCGCCAGAUCUUAUGGAGGCGUCCUUGAAAUACCACUCUUGUUUGUUUUUACGACUCACCUGACUAUUGAAACCAAUAGUAGGGACCGCGUAUGGAUGGUAGUUUAUCUGGGGUGGAUGCCUCCUAAAAAGUAACGGAGGCGCUCGAU
rnacentral:rRNA from 1 species